rnacentral:ncRNA from 2 species
AAAAAACUUCGGGGCCGGGUGUAAUUCCCGACCGGCGGUGAUAAAGGGAAACCUUUUUAGUCCGUGACCCGCAACCUUUGUUGCGGUGGAUCUGGUGUAAAUCCAGAGCCGACAGUUAAAGUCUGGAUGGGAGAAGUUGUGA